rnacentral:rRNA from 1 species
AGCGAACGCUGGCGGCAGGCCUAACACAUGCAAGUCGAACGAAGUCUUCGGACUUAGUGGCGGACGGGUGAGUAACACGUGGGAACGUGCCCUUAGGUUCGGAAUAACUCAGGGAAACUUGUGCUAAUACCGAAUGUGCCCUUCGGGGGAAAGAUUUAUCGCCGUUAGAGCGGCCCGCGUCUGAUUAGCUAGUUGGUGAGGUAAAGGCUCACCAAGGCUACGAUCAGUAGCUGGUCUGAGAGGAUGACCAGCCACAUUGGGACUGAGACACGGCCCAAACUCCUACGGGAGGCAGCAGUGGGGAGUCUUGCGCAAUGGGCGAAAGCCUGACGCAGCCAUGCCGCGUGGAUGAUGAAGGUCUUAGGAUUGUAAAAUCCUUUCACCGGUGAAGAUAAUGACUGUAGCCGGAGAAGAAGCCCCGGCUAACUUCGUGCCAGCCGCCGCGGUAAGAC